AGAGUUUGAUCCUGGCUCAGGAUGAACGCUAGCUACAGGCUUAACACAUGCAAGUCGAGGGGAAACGACAUCGAAAGCUUGCUUUUGAUGGGCGUCGACCGGCGCACGGGUGAGUAACGCGUAUCCAACCUGCCCAUCACUUGGGGAUAACCUUGCGAAAGUAAGACUAAUACCCAAUGACGUCUCUAGAAGACAUCUGAAAGAGAUUAAAGAUUUAUCGGUGAUGGAUGGGGAUGCAUCUGAUUAGCUUGUUGGCGGGUAACGCCACAAGGCGACGAUCAGUAGGGUUCUGAGAGGAAGGUCCCCCANAUUGGAACUGAGACACGGUCCAAACUCCUACGGGAGGCA
rnacentral:rRNA from 1 species